rnacentral:rRNA from 1 species
AUAGGUCAUCACUUCUGGAAUGGGUAAUGACUUAAACCUAUAUGGCCCCUGGAUUGGACUGCGGCCGAUCAGGCUGUUGGUGAGGUAAUGGCCCACCAAACCUGUAACCGGUACGGGCUCUGAGAGGAGGAGCCCGGAGAUGGGCACUGAGACGAGGGCCCAGGCCCUAUGGGGCGCAGCAGGCGCGAAACCUCUGCAAUAGGCGAAAGCUUGACAGGGUUACUCUGAGUGAUUUCCGUUAAGGAGAUCUUUUGGCACCUCUAAAAAUGGUGCAGAAUAAGGGGUGGGCAAGUCUGGUGU